UACGAAGGGGGCUAGCGUUGCUCGGAAUCACUGGGCGUAAAGCGCACGUAGGCGGCUUGUUAAGUCAGGGGUGAAAUCCUGGAGCUCAACUCCAGAACUGCCUUUGAUACUGGCGAGCUUGAGUUCGGGAGAGGUGAGUGGAACUGCGAGUGUAGAGGUGAAAUUCGUAGAUAUUCGCAAGAACACCAGUGGCGAAGGCGGCUCACUGGCCCGGUACUGACGCUGAGGUGCGAAAGCGUGGGGAGCGAACAGG
rnacentral:rRNA from 1 species